UGCUCAAACACCUGUUGGCAUCCAGACA
rnacentral:piRNA from 1 species